rnacentral:rRNA from 1 species
AUCAAUAAGCGGAGGAAAAGAAACCAACAGGGAUUGCCUCAGUAACGGCGAGUGAAGCGGCAACAGCUCAAAUUUGAAAUCUGGCCCCCCGGGUCCGAGUUGUAAUUUGCAGAGGAUGCUUUUGGCGCGGUGCCUUCCGAGUUCCCUGGAACGGGACGCCAUAGAGGGUGAGAGCCCCGUACGGUUGGACACCAAGCCUGUGUAAAGCUCCUUCGACGAGUCGAGUAGUUUGGGAAUGCUGCUCAAAAUGGGAGGUAUAUUUCUUCUAAAGCUAAAUACCGGCCAGAGACCGAUAGCGCACAAGUAGAGUGAUCGAAAGAUGAAAAGCACUUUGAAAAGAGGGUUAAACAGCACGUGAAAUUGUUAAAAGGGAAGCGCUUGUGACCAGACUUGCGCCCGGUGAAUCACCCAGCUCUCGCGGCUGGGGCACUUUGCCGGCUCAGGCCAGCAUCAGCUCGCCGUCGGGGACAAAAGCUUCGGGAACGUAGCUCUCUUCGGGGAGUGUUAUAGCCCGCUGCACAAUACCCUUCGGCGGGCUGAGGUACGCGCUCCGCAAGGAUGCUGGCGUAAUGGUCAUCAGCGACCCGUCUUGAAACACGGACCAAGGAUUCAACCUUAUGU